UGAGGUUGGCGCUGUGAGGUAAUGGUAGUGAGGUAUGUGUCCUGCAGUACCGUGUCUUACCUGAGGUUGGCGCUGUGAGGUAAUGGUAGUGAGGUAUGUGUCCUGCAGUACUGUGUCUUACCUGAGGUUGGCGCUGUGAGGUAAUGGUAGUGAGGUAUGUGUCCUGCAGUACUGUGUCUUACCUGAGGUUGGCGCUGUGAGGUAAUGGUAGUGAGGUAUGUGUCCUGCAGUACCGUGUCUUACCUGAGGUUGGCGCUGUGAGGUAAUGGUAGUGAGGUAUGUGUCCUGCAGUACUGUGUCUUACCUGAGGUUGGCGCUGUGAGGUAAUGGUAGUGAGGUAUGUGUCCUGCAGUACCGUGUCUUACCUGAGGUUGGCGCUGUGAGGUAAUGGUAGUGAGGUAUGUGUCCUGCAGUACCGUGUCUUACCUGAGGUUGGCGCUGUGAGUGCAGACAC